GUAGGGCCAAUCGCCGCCCCAAACACCUUGAGCGAAGCCCAAUCAGCGGCCGAAGAGAUUGAGAGUGGCGUGCAGACCGUCAACAAGUUAAGGCCAUUCUAUGAUUCUAAGAGCUCACCAGCAGCAGCAGCCUCCAGCCACCCCCUAGAACUGCAUUUAUGGGACAACUCAGCCCCUACAGCUGACAGGUGCUGUUGAGGUCAGCACGGACAGAUGGCAGCUCCAAAUGUGCCUCCCAGGCUCUCCAGCAGAGGUCAGGCUCACCAACAGCAGCUCAACACAGCCAAGUCCACUGAGCUUUUUGCGUGUUAUCCUGAAGAGUGCACAGACUGAAGCUACUAAUAGAGCAUUCUCAAUAAGCAAACAU